AAGCGUGGCGACAUGUGGAGCUGACUGAUACUAAUAGAUCGAGGACUUAACCAA
rnacentral:rRNA from 1 species